UGUUUUAUUUCAUCUCUCACACCUCACAGCCAUUCACUCCUCACUCCUCUCUCCUCUCGCGACCCUCACUGCUCUCGCCGACCCUCACUCCUCUCUCCUCUCGCCUCUCGCCUCUCGCCUCUCGCCGCCCCUCACUCUCAGGUCACCACUCCCCUUCACCCUCGUUCUCUCACCUUGACCCUCACCCUUCAUCUUCGACGGUGGUGGUGGAGACUCUCAGAUCUGUUUUUUCGAGGGAAUGUGAAUUGUUGAGGAUAAUGAAAUGAAACAAUUUUCAGGUAUGAAGGCCUUCCCCAAGGAUGACCCCAGCAAGCAACCACACCUUACUGCCUUCUUGGGCAACAAGGCUGGAAUGACCCACAUUGUGAGGAGGUCGAAAAGCCAGGGUCAAAACUUCACAAGAAGGAGACAUGUGAGGCUGUUACAAUUAUUGAUACCCCUCCCUUGGUGGUGGUUGGUGUUGUUGGCUACGUGAAGACUCCUCGUGGCUUGCGUACAUUGAACACUGUAUGGGCUCAGCACUUGAGCGAGGAGAUCAGGAGAAGAUCCUACAAGAACUGGCGCCGUCGUUCUUCGUUGAGUUCGUUCGUCGAGAUCUGUUUUAUGUACUCUGUAUUUCUAUUUUUUUAAUUUUCGUUUUUUCAAUUUUUUUCCUAAAUAGAUCUGCUUUCAUUUUUUUUAUAUAUAUUUUUGUAAUUAGGGCUUAAAUUAAUUUUCGAUAUUAAUUUUAUGUACUUCAGUAUAACUAUUUUUUUUUCCUUUUUUGUUUUUUUUUUUUUAUUUUUUUCCUUAUUAGAUUUGUUUCAUUUUUUAUAUAUAUUUUUGUAAUUAGGGUUUGUAAUAUUAUUUUUAUUGAAUAUAUGGACAUAUGGUGAUUUGAUUUA